rnacentral:rRNA from 1 species
GUGUCAGCCGCCGCGGUAAUACGGAGGGUGCAAGCGUCGUUCGGAAUCACUGGGCGUAAAGGGCGCGUAGGCGGCCCAGCAAGUCGGGUGUGAAAGCCCUGGGCUCAACUCAGGAAGUGCAUCCGAUACUACUGGGCUUGAGUACGGGAGAGGGAAGUGGAAUUCCCGGUGUAGGGGUGAAAUCCGUAGAUAUCGGGAGGAACACCGGUGGCGAAGGCGACUUCCUGGACCGCUACUGACGCUGAGGCGCGAAAGCGUGGGGAGCGAACGGGAUUAGAAACCCCGGUAGUCCACGCCGUAAACGAUGCGGACUAGGUGUGGGAGGUAUUGACCCCUUCCGUGCCGUAGCUAACGCGUUAAGUCCGCCGCCUGGGGACUACGGCCGCAAGGGUGAAACUUAAAGGAAUUGACGGGG